rnacentral:rRNA from 1 species
UACGUAGGGUGCGAGCGUUAAUCGGAAUACUGGGCGUAAGCGUGCGCAGGCGGUUCGUUGUGUCGGCGGUGAAAGCCCGGGCUCCAACCUGGGAAUGGCCGUUGAAACUGGCGAACUGGAGUGUGGCAGAGGGGGUGGAAUUCCGCGUGUAGCAGUGAAAUGCGUAGAGAUGCGGAGGAACACCGAUGGCGAAGGCAGCCCCUGGGCUGACACUGACGCUCAGGCACGAAAGCGUGGGGAGCAAACAGG